rnacentral:rRNA from 1 species
CAUAACCUGGUUGAUCCUGCCAGUAGCCAUAUGCUUGUCUCAAAGAUUAAGCCAUGCAUGUCUAAGUAUAAGCUUUUGUACGGCGAAACUGCGAAUGGCCCAUUAAAACAGUUACAGUUUAUUUGGUGAUCGCUCACUACAUGGAUACCCGUGGUAAUUCUAGAGCCCGACUUCUCGGAAGGGUUGUGUUUAUUA